rnacentral:rRNA from 1 species
UACAGAGGGGGCGAGCGUUGUUCGGAAUUACUGGGCGUAAAGGGCGCGUAGGCGGCUUGCUAAGUCGGACGUGAAAUCCCUCGGCUCAACCGGGGAACUGCGUCUGAUACUGGAGGGCUUGAAUCCGGGAGAGGGAUGUGGAAUUCCAGGUGUAGCGGGUGAAAAUGCGCAGAUAUCAGGGAGGGAACACCGGUGGGCGAAGGCGGUUCU